AUUGAACGCUGGCGGCAUGCUUUACACAUGCAAGUCGAACGGUAACAGGUUAAGCUGACGAGUGGCGAACGGGUGAGUAAUGCAUCGGAACGUGCCCGAUCGUGGGGGAUAACGCAGCGAAAGCUGCGCUAAUACCGCAUACGAUCUGGGGAUGAAAGCGGGGGACCGUAAGGCCUCGCGCGAUCGGAGCGGCCGAUGUCAGAUUAGGUAGUUGGGGGGGUAAAGGCUCACCAAGCCGACGAUCUGUAGCUGGUCUGAGAGGACGACCAGCCACACUGGGACUGAGACACGGCCCAGACUCCUACGGGAGGCAGCAGUGGGGAGUUUUGGACAAUGGGCGCAAGCCUGAUCCAGCAAUGCCGCGUGCAGGAAGAAGGCCUUCGGGUUGUAAACUGCUUUUGUGCGGAGCGAAAAGGCUCUCUCUAAUACAGGGGGCUCAUGACGGUACCGUAAGAAUAAGCACCGGCUAACUACGUGCCAGCCGCCGCCGUAAGAC
rnacentral:rRNA from 1 species